UGUUCGAGCGUCAUUACAACCCUCAAGCUUUGCUUGGUAUUAGGUAUCGCCGGUUAGGCGCGCCGUAAAGAUAGUGGCGGUGCCAUCUGGCUUCGAGCGUAGUAAAAUUCUCGCUUUGGAGGACCGGACAUGUGCCUGCCAGCAACCCCAAAUUUUCAAAGGUUGACCUCGGAUCAGGUAGGGAUACCCGCUGAACUUAA
rnacentral:misc_RNA from 1 species